UUUGUUCCAGUGUGUCAACGUUAGCCAUGUCCUAGCUGAGGCCUCCCAUGAAAACACAAUUCAGAUGAAAAUAUUGGGAGAUGUUAAGGCUCAAUUAGUGGCAUUUCAUAUAAUUACCCUGUUAAAGAUUAAGGUUUCUCUGGAAUGUGACAUAAAUAUUGACCCUAAACAGCUCUCAAUAAAAAAUGAAGUUUACAGCGCAGUAAAAAAUCACAUGGCAUCUUUUCCUGCCAAUCCACAGAC